rnacentral:misc_RNA from 1 species
AAGUAAAUUUCCUUGGUCAAUGACAGAAGCAAUUUGCAUUUCUGCUUUAUUUACAUUAAUGUGGCAUCUCCUUUCUUGAAUUUAUGGUGCCAAUUACUUGUGUUUUCUCCAAUCAUUCUUCGAAUUUGUUUUAUUUGUAUGCAUUGCAAAGCUUCGAAGCAAAAAAUUGAUUUGGAAACUUCUGAGCAUAUGCGCACAAACCUUGGCACUUCUUUCUCAUUCCAUCCAAAUGGUUUGCGCAUGAACUUUUUGAAUCAUUAUUCCAAAAGAUGCACUUGUUUAUUCCCCAUUAUUCACAAUCACCCUUAAAUUAAUUCCCGCACUUUCUUCCUUUUGCCUUUUUUUAAAUGGCUACUUUCCCACCUUUGUUAAGGGGAGGAGAUCGCGUU